GUGAGGAAUAUUGGUCAAUGGACGAGAGUCUGAACCAGCCAAGUAGCGUGAAGGAUGACUGCCCUAUGGGUUGUAAACUUCUUUUAUACGGGAAUAAAGUUAGCCACGUGUGGCUUUUUGUAUGUACCGUAUGAAUAAGGAUCGGCUAACUCCGUGCCAGCAGCCGCGGUAAUACGGAGGAUCCGAGCGUUAUCCGGAUUUAUUGGGUUUAAAGGGAGCGUAGGCGGGUUGUUAAGUCAGUUGUGAAAGUUUGCGGCUCAACCGUAAAAUUGCAGUUGAUACUGGCGACCUUGAGUGCAACAGAGGUAGGCGGAAUUCGUGGUGUAGCGGUGAAAUGCUUAGAUAUCACGAAGAACUCCGAUUGCGAAGGCAGCUUACUGGAUUGUAACUGACGCUGAUGCUCGAAAGUGUGGGUAUCAAACAGGAUUAGAAACCCUAGUAGUCCG
rnacentral:rRNA from 1 species